AGUCGAACGCUUCUUUCCUCCCGAGUGCUUGCACUCAAUUGGAAAGAGGAGUGGCGGACGGGUGAGUAACACGUGGGUAACCUACCCAUCAGAGGGGGAUAACACUUGGAAACAGGUGCUAAUACCGCAUAACAGUUUAUGCCGCAUGGCAUAAGAGUAAAAGGCGCUUUCGGGUGUCGCUGAUGGAUGGACCCGCGGUGCAUUAGCUAGUUGGUGAGGUAACGGCUCACCAAGGCCACGAUGCAUAGCCGACCUGAGAGGGUGAUCGGCCACACUGGGACUGAGACACGGCCCAGACUCCUACGGGAGGCAGCAGUAGGGAAUCUUCGGCAAUGGACGAAAGUCUGACCGAGCAACGCCGCGUGAGUGAAGAAGGUUUUCGGAUCGUAAAACUCUGUUGUUAGAGAAGAACAAGGACGUUAGUAACUGAACGUCCCCUGACGGUAUCUAACCAGAAAGUCACGGCUAACUACGUGCCAGCAGCCGCGGUAAUACGUAGGUGGCAAGCGUUGUCCGGAUUUAUUGGGCGUAAAGCGAGCGCAGGCGGUUUCUUAAGUCUGAUGUGAAAGCCCCCGGCUCAACCGGGGAGGGUCAUUGGAAACUGGGAGACUUGAGUGCAGAAGAGGAGAGUGGAAUUCCAUGUGUAGCGGUGAAAUGCGUAGAUAUAUGGAGGAACACCAGUGGCGAAGGCG
rnacentral:rRNA from 1 species